GCAACGCGAAGAACCUUACCUGGCCUUGACAUGUACGGAACUUUCCAGAGAUGGAUUGGUGCUCGAAAGAGAACGGUAACACAGGUGCUGCAUGGCUGUCGUCAGCUCGUGUCGUGAGAUGUUGGGUUAAGUCCCGCAACGAGCGCAACCCUUGCCAUUAAUUGCCAUCAUUUAGUUGGGCACUUUAAUGGGACUGCCGGUGACAAACCGGAGGAAGGUGGGGAUGACGUCAAGUCCUCAUGGCCCUUAUGGCCAGGGCUUCACACGUAAUACAAUGGUCGGUACAGAGGGUUACCAACCCGCGAGGGGGAGUCAAUCUCAGAAAGCCGAUCGUAGUCCGGAUUGCAGUCUGCAACUCGA
rnacentral:rRNA from 1 species